UACGGAGGGUGCAAGCGUUAUCCGGAUUUAUUGGGUUUAAAGGGUGCGUAGGCGGCCUUUUAAGUCAGUGGUGAAAUCCUAGUGCUCAACACUAGAACUGCCAUUGAAACUAAAAGGCUUGAGUCAAGGAGAGGUAAGCAGAAUUUAUGGUGUAGCAGUGAAAUGCUUAGAUAUCAUAAGGAAUACCAACAGCGAAGGCAGCUUACUGGCCUUGUACUGACGCUGAGGCACGAAAGCGUGGGGAGCAAACAGG
rnacentral:rRNA from 1 species